rnacentral:piRNA from 1 species
UCUCAGUUUCNAGAACAGUGCCUGGCAUGU